UGGGAUGGUGGUCAUAAUUGCAUUUCAUUCUUUCAUCCACAAUUUCAGCUAUAUUUCUUCACAGACCAAGCCAUCUUCCUGUGCCCUGAAUUGGUGGAGAGCAUGGCUGGGGAAAUAUUAUUGCUUUUUUUUAGUGCUGCAGUUUCUCAUAGAGUGGGCAAGAUCAGCCUCAGAAUGCCAUGUGAAAAACAAAACCAUUCCUUCACACUGACCAGUAGUCAGUAGUGUUCAGGACCAACACUACCCCAGUGUGAGAAAAGCCACCACGUUUGCUGUCCUGGAGCCACCACAGGGCUCAGAGCAGAGCUGUAGGAGUAGACUUCAUAAUGUGACCCCAGAGCAAUCCCAGGCAUUGACAAGAAGAUGCAUGCUUCAGGGAAACCAGAACUGCUUUGCAUCUUGGCUUACAGAUAAAGAAGAGCUCAGAUAACUUCUUCAGCAGGAGGAAUGCACGUGACCCUGACACAUGAUCUGGUCUCAUCAAGAUAUCCCGAGUGCUACACAGCUACAGUGUCAACACGUUGCCCAGGACAACAGUUUGUCUACAAAAUCCGUACAAAGAAGGGUUCAUCAGCAAUUUCUGGCAGGCUGGCAAGAGGUGGAGUUUAUGGAGGAGGAGAUCAGCUCAAAGCCACCCAGCUCCCACCCAGGGAGUUCAGCAGGAGCAAGUAAAUCAUUUCCCCAGGCAAUAAUUCCAUAGCCUGCAUGGGAAGCAGCUGACUGUGCCAGAGUCCUGAAGUGCCUGGACUGAGGAACAUGCUGACUCCUGCAGAGAAUGGUCAUCUGGAAAUAACCAUUGUCUUCAGGCUCAAGUUCUAUUCUAAUUUGAGGCACAACUUUUACUGGAGUUCGUGGAGGGCUGCGAAGAAAAAGAAGACAAGGUAGCUGAGAGGGACAACGUGGGAAUGUGCACAUGUGGUUUUCUGUUGAUGUGAUACCGAUAACGUAGAAGUCUUGGAUCUCAUCAGCAUGUUCGUAGGUGAGAGCUUUCCUGAUGCUUGAAGCUUCUGCUUUCCCUAUUAGUCAUACAGGCAUGAGCUGAAAGUCUCAGCAGGACCUGUACUGCUAAGAAAUGCGUCCUCAAGAUUUCUUGAUAGAAGAGUGCAGGAACAGAGUAGUCUAGUGGUCAGUGCCUGCUAGGAAGGAAGGGAAAGGGGAGUUUGCUGUCUGAAAUAAGGACUAAUCUUCACAGCUGGGAUUCAGCCUGAUUUAAUGAGGAGUGGAUCCAAGCUACCUCCUGUGUCACCGCACCCUCACUACAAAAUUCCUAGUUUUGAUUCUUGUGUAUAUUUCCUGCAUUAUAGAGCAUACAUUCUCUGAAGAAAGGCCACUGUAUAUUUUUUCACUGGAAUAGCUGGACUUUGUCACCUCUAACACAGCUGUCACGUAAGGGACUUGAGCUCCAGCGUGUUCUCCAUCUGGGUCGUGGUUGUGUUUCCUGUCCUGCCUACCUUGAGUAAGGCCAGGCAUCAGAAUGAUCUGGAGGAACUCUUGGAGCUGCCAUAUUACACUAGAAGACACAUUAUCUCACUCAUCUGAUUGCAUAAAUAGGGCUACUGUGGCAAUUCUGCUCAGUACAGGAAAGAUACAGAUGAUACACAGUAGAAAAAGCAGAAGUGCUGCAGGACUGCUCUGCUGCACUGUCACCUCACAGUGUGGUGGCAGCAGUGCUUCCCACAGCUAACCAUGGCUUGCUUGCACUUUCCUAAGGCUUCACUGCAAAAAAUGCUUCUGGGAAAUAACACUGACCCAGUAGCUCCUUCUUCAGGAAUUUCCUUUUCCUGAGGUCGCUGUUACCCACUUCGCAUCAACCAAAAAGGCCAGGGGGCAAGCAGGCAAGCAACUGAGGUUGCUGUUCCUCUGUCGUACCACACAAGACUUCAGAACUUGGGUAUUCCUGGCUGCAGGUUAGUGAGCUAGGUGUGAAUCUACAAGAAUGUGUCAGCUGGCUUUUCCUCACAAGGCAUGAUGCCUUCUCAUUUUAUUUCUCCAGCUCUGUAUCGAUGUGGUAUUUUCCAGCUCCAGGUGAUCUUUGUCUAAAUCACAUGAAAAGUCUUUCUUCAUUAACUCUGGAAAUUACACAAGCAGAACUUCUGAUGCUAUGUCAGUGUUCUCCAUGUAGCUCAUAAUUAAUGAAGCUUAGCUCCCUUGGUACACAGUCAUCCAGCAAAAAAUGAUGCAGACUGAGGCAGCCAGCUCUCCGAAGGAAGUUCACAUUUCUAUAUGAAGUGCUCUGUAAUCAGUGUGUUCACCACUUUCAUUUAAGUUUAUAGAAUUUGAGUUCCCACGAGGUCUGGGUAGGAAAAUGUUUGAAGGCACAAGUACCACAUUUCAUCUUACUACAUCUACAAUAAAAAGUAUCAUUUUCUAAGGCACAUGGAUCUGGUCUAAUCAGGUCACCACACUUAGUACUGAAUUAGCAAGGUAAGUUAAACUACUACAGUUUCUGUAGGUAUAUACAUGCUGCAACCUGAGAUAGAAGCAAAGAGUAAAACACACUGGCAAAAGGGCACGUAUGCUAUUUAAAUGUAUUAAAAACAGACAACAAAGCCUCUCCUGAAACAUGACAAGACUUAACUUACUGUGCUUUUAAAAAGAGUAAUUAGAAAAGAGAACAAAGCAGGCUGUUUUCAGAAGCAUCAGAGCUGCUAGCGAAAACCUUUCUCCUCCUAAAACAUAAGAGACAAUGAGGGGAGAAAGGCAGAGGAGGGAGGGGAAGAUGAACUAGACAGGAUGAUACAAGGUAUUCUAGUAAAGAACAUAACAUGUCAGCAGAUAUCUUGGGCUCACUUGUGGAAAGUGUGAUCGCAUUUUUGGCAAUGCAAGUUCCAGCUACCACAGGCUGCGGAUGCCUGGAAAAGGGAAGGCAGUGUUGAAAAGGUUUUGUUUGGGGCUCAUUUGCUGCACCAGGUAGGGACUGUGCUGGUUUGCUUCAAAAGAGGAUGGGGAAACCACCAUCCCCAAAGUAGUUUUCUGUUUUGUUUUUUUUUUUUUUUUAAAAAAAAGAGAAGUUCCUUACAUCCUCAUUGUCACUGUCCAGACUGCCCUUCUUCUUUUUCUUCUUCUUCUCAUCCUCUUUCUUUUUCUUAUCCUUUUCUGGAAUGACGUCAUCAAGAAAACUUAAGUCAUGCUGGGAGAAGAGGUAGUCCAUGGCUUUUCUGACUGCUACAAGUGCCAAGAUCUGAAAAGGCAGGGAGAGACUUUUCACUUGGACACAUUUUUGACUGGAAACAUUCUGUGCAUACCUGUUCAUGCUACUUUUUAAUUCCUAACACUUGAAUUUUGGUUGUAACAGAACAUAUAGAGAACAAGGUUAUUGAGAUAUUUCAGUUGUUCACCUUGAAAAUCUAAUGAAUGGAACUGGGUCAGGCCUCAAGCAGCAGUAUUUCAUAUCAGAUUAAACAGAAGCAACAUACAGGAACAGUAAUGUAAUCACUUACUGCUUUCGUAAAGGCAGAAGUCAGCUUUAAUCUCCUGCUGACAAGUAUCAGACAAAAUAAUUAACUAGAGAGGCCCAAAAUGAGUAUUUUCAUCCAUUUGAGGGAUUCAGCUUACAUAUGCAUGUUCACAAGGGCAUCCUGAGCAAUUUUCUUUACUUUUUUUUUUCCUCUCACCAUUUCUCCAGAUAGAACAAUUCUUUAAAAAUUAUACAGCGGUGUAGGUGUGCUUUCAAUUUUACAGUAUUAAAUUUGCUAGGAUUGUGUUUGCAAGAAACUGAAGGAAAAGCUUUUUUCUGGGUAAGACUGCACUCUAAAGCACUGGGAAAAAAAGUAAGGGACACGUCUGAAAUGGGUGUCUACAUCUAUGCUGAAAUUUAGCAUAACCAACAGAUGCAUACCAAGAUUACACGUACACUCUACUAAAGGGUGCAAUGCAGAACGAAAGCUCAACUUGGUUAUAAAAAGAUGUCAUCCAUUCCUAGCAACAGGAGACAGAUUUUAAGACAGAACAGUUUGCUCCAACUGAUGAAGAUCAAUGGCAGAAAUUAUCCCUCAGAAUGGAUCUCAAACUUUGACUAUAAUUUAAGUGGGGUUCAGAAGUGAAAAAUUACUCAGGGAGUGGAAAGAUGCCAUGGAAGCACCCAUCAUUAUUUCACUAUAAAUUCCCUCUUUAUUAAAAGUACUUUCUCCACAAAUAAGCAGGGGGCUGGCUGUUGGUUAGGUCUUCACAGUCAGGUUGUAAGCUAAUAGUCUUCCUGUUCUCAAGUGUAAUAACUGAGGUUUUAUCAUUAGAUCCAGUCACAUCUGUAAGUAUAACAAACUUCAGCAAACGUGAAGAUUCUCUUAUGGACAAAGAGGAAAUCUUCAGAUCUUAAAUUCAGCAUUCAACAAUACAAUACAGCCAUGAGAAUGCAAUGGAAAAUGAGCAUGCCACUGGAAACUGCUUUUAAUAUCUUUAUAUAUUUGUAUAUGUCCUAGCAAAAAUAUUUGUAUGUUUUACUUUUUUCACUUGAAUCAGCCUUUCUCAUUUCACUAGCAUCAGAGAAUAAAUGCCUUUGUUUUGUUU